rfam:Microgenomates (Collierbacteria) bacterium GW2011_GWB1_44_35 TW62_C0002, whole genome shotgun sequence.
CCUAACAUCUGGUAGGAAGCGCCCCGAGCAAUCGGGGAGGAAAGUCCGGACAGCUAAAAGGCAGGGUGGCUGUGGAAACACAGUCUUCCGGUAAGUAAUUACCGGGACGCGAUAGGGCCACAGAGACGAUAAAUGUGAAACGCCUCCGCAAGGAGGAUCUCGGGAAAGUAAUUUUUCGAGAGUGGUAACCCGCCCCGCUGCAAUCUUCGAACUGGGAUUAAGGUGCCUCUUCCGUCCCUAAAGUUAAGAGCGUAGAUAGAUGCUUCCUCUCGACAAAAUCCGGCUUACUAUGAGUUAGGGGUC